CCUAGGUGGCUAGGUGGUGUGGCGGGUUAGCUUUUUUUGGUUUUUGUUACAUAUUAGUAGCACAUUUUUAGCACAGCAGUCUAACUUUCCAAGAAAAAGCUGGAUUUUCCAUAUUGAAGAAUGAAAACUAAAGAUGUCCAAGUUACUUUCAAGUUUAAGGACAAACCCAGUGCAUUUUGGGAUAAAGGGACUCGUAAAAUGUGGGUGAUACAUCUAUUUGUUUUAAGUGCUAUUGUGUAUGCCGCUAGGGUGGCUAUGCCAGUCUGUGCAACUGCAAUUUCCAAAGAAUUUGGUUGGAACAAAGCAGACUUGGGUGCUGUAUUGGGUUCUUUCUUUUGGGGUUACGUUACCACACAAAUAGUGGGAGGGUACUUCGCUGAUAAAAUUGGUAGUGAUAAAGUUGUUUUUGUUGCUGCUGUCUGCUGGGGCACAUUAAUACUUUUCACGCCUACCAUUUCAAAACUACAUGGAAUUUUUGGAAGCUCUAUUAUACUUCUUACUGCUACAAGAGUUGGGUUAGGUGUUACACAGGGUGUACAUUUCCCUUCUAUUGUCAGUCUGCUUGCACAUAAGGUUCCAGAGGCCGAGAGAUCCUACCCUAUGGGUGUAAUUCUUGCUGCUGCAAAUCUCGGCUCUUUAUUGUGUGGUGGACUUGGCUCUGUUUUGCUGGAACAUUAUAGUUGGGAAAGAGUGUUUCAAGUUUUAGGCCUUAUUACUCUUUCCUGGACUUACAUAAUGUGGGUUAGUGGCAAAAAACAAAGAAGUCUUGUUUCUAUAGAUACCACCAGUCUGCCAUCACCAUCACCUAUGCAGAAAACUGAAAAUGUACCGUGGAGUCUGCUGUUUACAAAAAGUGCAGUUUGGUCUCUUAUUUUGGGACACAUAUGCCACAGUAAUUCAUUCCAUAUCAUGAUAUCAUGGCUUCCAACAUUUUUCCAUGAGCGUUUUCCUUAUGAGAAGGGCUGGAUAUAUAACGUUUUACCCUGGACGAUGUCUGUCCCAGCUAGUAUUUUUUCAGGCUGGCUCAGUGAGCGACUAAUCAAAAACAAUGUGAGUGUCACUUUCACUCGGAAACUUGCACAGUGUGUAGCAAUGGGUGGAAGCGCAAUUUUCUUUGUUUUACUUCCGAGAUGCAAGACAUUUUGGUAUGCUGUCAUCUGUUCAAUGCUUUCUAUAACGUUUCAGACAGUCCAUCAUAGUGGGGUGGUGAUAAACCCACAAGACAUUGCUCCUGCCUAUGCAGGUUCAGUGUUUGGGGUUAUGAAUGCCUUUGGUGCAUUGUCAUCCUCUUUCGGAGUUUAUGCCACAGGUUGUAUUCUUAAUACCUCGGGCUCAUGGACAUCUGUUUUUAAUUUAAUGGCUGCAUUAAACAUUAUGGGUGCCUUGAUUUUUGUCACUUAGGGAACAGCCAAGAAAGUGCUUUGAUGUAAAAAGUGUUCAGUUUAUUCGUAAUUAUUGUGCUUGAAAAGACUAUUCUUGUUAUGCAGUUUAGCAAAUAUAUUCAAACUUUUUUUAUUGUGAUUUAUUAUGAAUGUUUAGUUAGUAACUACUCCACUGUAUAUAAUCAAAAUUUAGUCAAAUAUUUUGCCAUAAGAGUUUACCUAGUUUUGCAUCAUUACAUUAGCCCCCAAUUUGAUAUAUCUCUGCAGCCAGUCAUGUAUAUAUUAACGAAAUGUAAUGUGCAAUAAUAGACAACCAUAUGUAAUACUUCACUUUUCAAUUACAGUCCCCUACCAUUGUCAAUAUUUCAAUGUUUCCUUCUCUCUAUAAAAUUGUAUAUACUUAUCAUAUUUGGUGUGUAGCUACCAUGUCUAACAUCUAAUUAUGCAAUAUUUUUCAAUAGGAAAUUUAAAUUACUUGUAUAGUUGUGUUUGACCUCAGUGACCUUGCAGUGCCUUCACUUAAUAUUAUUAUAUGUAUCACAAUACUGAAAUUACUCCCAUUUUUUUCGUAAAAAUUCAAAUAUUAUUUUACCCUCUAGGCCUAUGAAGUAUUUGUAUGCAAUAAUUAGCUAUUAAUACUUACAAUUUUUGCACAUAAAAAUAUGCAUCUCAUUUCUCUAUGUUACCUACUAUUUACUAGGUAAUAAAAACUGAAUUGAUGCCUAGUUUUAUUGGGUGGACCAAUUUUAUAAUGCACUGUUGCUACAGUAUAACAGUUGUUUAAUCUUUUCCAUUACUGUUUGCCUCUAACUUUUAACAAAGGUUUCUACUAUUAUUACAAAAGUGCCGUUCUCACUACAGUCAUAAGUUAACUCUUUUAUAUAAGUUUAAAAUUAUGUCUUUUUUUUUGUGUUAUGGUGUAUCUCUGAUCAGUUUAAAUUAAAACUUUGUUUUACGUAUUUAAAUCCAUGAAAAGCUUUAGCGUGUAGUGUCAAAUGGUCUCAAGGUGUCUGGCAUUUUUAAAAAUAUUUUAACUUAAUAUGAGAUUUUAACUUAUAUAAACAUUGGUGUUAUUUGCUGCACAG